rnacentral:lncRNA from 1 species
CUGUGUUGGCCACUGUGUCAGCCCCUGGUGGCCUGGCCGUCUGCAUUGGCACCAGCAUCCAGGGGACGCUGACACCCGCUGAGCGCAGGGCCACCCUUCCAGACCUCAACUCGGGUGGCGGUCACGCAGGCACAUGCCUCCCUAGACAAGAGCAUGGCCUGCUGUGGGCGCUGGCCCGCGGGGCAGGACCCCCAGAGGCAGGCAGUGUCCACGGUGGCCCACACCACCCGGCCCCUGGCCAGGCCUUCCUGGUGCAGUUCCCACCUGUGUCCCUCUCUGGCCUGCUGAGCUGGUGGCCUGGCUCAGGCCACUGUGCCUCUGUGAGGCCCCUUUCCUUACCAGUGACCUGGGGACCCCUGGCAGCGCUGAGUGUCCCGGUGUGGAGCGUGUGGGCAGCACCUGGCCGGGGGAGUGCAGAGGUGCUGCAGAGGGGCACCAGACUAAGCCGUCUGUCCCUGCAGACAGGGACAUGAAGAGACAGCAUGGGGUGGCCCCAGCAGCUGCUCACUCCACCCCCCACUGUGUGCCCAGUGUGCCGGCCCCGUGGGCAGCCCUGGGGAACAGGCUCCUGGGGACUGGCAAUCCAGCAAGGAGGCCCGAGGAGGACCUGCACGCUCCGUGGGCUCUGGAGAAACGCAGAGGAGCCCGGGCGAGGAGGGCUUCUGGGGGCUGCGCAGUGACGGAGGGCCCUGGGCCUCACAGACAGGCACAGAGGGAAACAGCAAGUACAAAGGCCCCGGGGCAGCAGGAGGAGGCUGUGUGGCUGGAGCAGGGGGAGGGGGAGGUACGUGCCGGGAAGCUACAGGCUGGGGUGCCCACUAGCACAGCCAGCCCUGCCACCUAUGGCUACCCGCUCCCCACGGGGACACUGAAUGUCCGAUUCCCUGUGUACCCCACUUCCUGGAGGGGGUUUCUGGGCAGCAGUCCAGCCCCUUCCUGGGUCCUUCAGGGAACUCCCUGUGCUCCGGGCGUGAGGCCUGGCGGGUCACACAGGGGGCAUGUCACUGCGCACCUGAGCAGCCUAAUGCUUGCAGGAUGGGACCCUGGGCGUUGGGCACUGUGGG